rfam:Drosophila persimilis strain MSH-3 cont1.005635, whole genome shotgun sequence.
AUUGUAUGUGAGUCUCUCACAUGGCUGGUCUAGCUGACUUGUUUCUAAUACUGCUAGCUGCCUUGUGAAGGGCUUACGUGUUUU